rnacentral:rRNA from 1 species
ACCCGUAAUCCGGGUUGCGGACAGUGUCUGGUGGGUAGUUUGACUGGGGCGGUCUCCUCCUAAAGAGUAACGGAGGAGCACGAAGGUUAGCUAAUCCUGGUCGGACAUCAGGAGGUUAGUGCAAAGGCAUAAGCUAGCUUGACUGCGAGAGUGACGGCUCGAGCAGGUGCGAAAGCAGGUCUUAGUGAUCCGGUGGUUCUGAAUGGAAGGGCCAUCGCUCAACGGAUAAAAGGUACUCCGGGGAUAACAGGCUGAUACCGCCCAAGAGUUCAUAUCGACGGCGGUGUUUGGCACCUCGAUGUCGGCUCAUCACAUCCUGGGGCUGAAGUAGGUCCCAAGGGUAUGGCUGUUCGCCAUUUAAAGUGGUACGCGAGCUGGGUUUAGAACGUCGUGAGACAGUUCGGUCCCUAUCUGCCGUGGGCGCUGGAGAAUUGAGGGGGGCUGCUCCUAGUACGAGAGGACCGGAGUGGACGCAUCACUGGUGUUCGGGUUGUCAUGCCAAUGGCAUUGCCCGGUAGCUAAAUGCGGAAGAGAUAAGUGCUGAAAGCAUCUAAGCACGAAACUUGCCCCG